GAUUCCACCAAUGUUAAUUUAUUACAUUUGCUUUUUCACUGCUCUCACUCUUGCUCUCUGUGGAAAGAGAGGGAGAAAAAGAGAACACUUUCAAGUUGCACGCAUGAUACCCUUUACCCAUAAAUACUUCAAUGUGUAUUUCCUAAAGACAGGAAACUUUCUUACAUGAUGACAGUACAGUUGUCCAAAUCAGGAAAUUCCCACUGCUAUGAUGCUGUUAGCUAACCUACAGCCCCUAUACAGAUUGCUCCAUUGUGGUAGGCAGAAUAACGGCUGCCCUAAAGAUGUCCAGGUCCUGUAGGGUUACACAAGCAAAGUGGAAUUAAGGUUUCUGAUGUAAUUAGGUUGUGAAUCAGCUGAUUGUGAAAUUGAGAGAUAUCCCUGGAUUAUCUGAUUGGGCCAAUGUGAUUAUAAGGAUUCUUAUAAUUGAAAGAGGGAAGGCAGGAAAGGGGGUCAGAGUGAUGCAAUGUGAUAAGGCCAUCACUGCCAGCUUGAAGAUGGAGGAGUCACAGGAGACGUGGGUUCGAUCCCUGGGUUGGGAUGAUCCCCUGGAGGAGGAGACGGCAACCCACUCCAGUAUGCUUGCCGGGAAUAUUUCAUGAACAGAGGAGUCUGGUGAGCUACAGUCCAUGGGGUUGCAAACAGUCAGACACAACUCAGCGCGUGAGUGUACAAGCACACACACACACACACACACACACAUUUCUCCCCUACAGCCUCCAAGAAGGGGACAAAGCCCAGCUGAUACCUUGAUUUUAGCCCGGGGAGACCCCCAUCAGACUUCUAUAGAACUAUAAAAUAAGACAUUUGUGUUGCUUUAAGUCACUAAGUUUGGAGUAACUUAGUUACAGAGUCAUAGAAAACGAAUACUCUUUGUCUCAAUAAUGUCCUUAAAAAUCUGGAAUCGUGUCGUGUUCAGUUGUCACGUCUCUUUCAUUUUCUUUAAUCUGGAACGAUUCUGAGUCUUUUUUUUUUUUUUUUGUAUUUUGUGACCUUGACAUUAAAAGAAAAAAAAAAGACACAUUUUGUAGAAUGUUCCUCAGUUUGGUCUGUCAGAUGUUUUCUUUGGAUUGGAUUCAGG
ensembl:lncRNA